AUGAACUGGGCAAUCAGAGACAGAAUCAACAGAAAGGGUAGUAACAUUCAAAAUUUUUAACUAAUGGAUAAAGGUAGCACAUUAAAAGAGCUUAGCAAAGAAUAUUUUUAUUAUUACAAAAAUGGCCCCCAAGCGGGAAAGGCUAGUGGUUUAAGCAUAAGAAUUAGAAAACUCUGGAAAGAGUAACCAUAGAAGGUGAUAGUCCUGCAUAAGUAGAAAGUUUUUAAAUCCUCGAGUAGAGCGGGACAGGUGAAAUCUUGUUUGAACAUGGGGGAUCAUCCUCAAAGCCUAAAUACUCCUUGACGACCGAUAGUGAACAAGUACCGUGAGGGAGAGGUGAAAAGAACCCCGGGANNNNNNNNNNNNNNNNNNNUGACGACCGAUAGUGAACAAGUACCGUGAGGGAGAGGUGAAAAGAACCCCGGGAGGAGAGUGAAAUAGAAUCUGAAA
ncrna:length=3866